GGGAGGGUGGGGCGGAGUCGGUGGUGGUUUGGCGCGUUACCCUGCUAAAGUAACAGGCCUGGUGAUGUAAUGAGCUUUGUUUGGGCAGGGCGUUCCGCACGUCCAGGAGAAGACGCCCUAAUUCUGGCUCACCUAGAGGUCUCCUAGCUACCGUCUCGUCAGCAGACGACCUUUACCCAGGCUCUGUCAUACUAACACUGCUGGCGCCAACAGCAUCCCAGAGGCACAGCCUGGAACCAGGAGUUAGACGAGUUGGGCACUUGCUCGUGACCUUGUUCUAGUUCCACCUCUACUGUGUUACUUUCAGUCAUCUUCUAGCUCUCCGCUUGUUGGACGCCCCAAGAAUGGGGAAGGUGCUGCAUUUGCGGUAGAGACAAUUAUAUCUCUGGCCCCUUACCUGUCGGCAACUUUUCUGCCAGCGCCCUCCUCCCCCUCACGUUCGUGUGCAGAAAGAACAUGGAAGGUGUGUUGGCACCAUCUAAGAAGAAACAUGUUUAGAUGAUUAGAGAAUUCUUGGAAAUCUAGAGGAUUUGCAUCCCUUCUGACCUAGACAGAAAAGCCUGCGUGGCAGAGCCACCACCGAUUCAGCAAGACAAAUAGUGAAGACUCGCUCGCGCCCCCGCAGCUCUUUGGCUUAGCUGCUGAAGACUGACGAGGCCCAGGGCCCCCGGCCCCAUCUGCCAUCACUGCAUUGGAGCCCAGGGUAACACUACUAGUAGCAGCGAAGGUACAAGGGAUGACCACUUCUAAUGAUAAGAGAGCUCUGGUUCUUUCUGACCUCUACUCUCAUAAUCAGGCAGUAGCAAAAGUGCUCUGAGGAAACCUGACAUUAUACAUGUGGUGCAAUUUCAUGGCCUAAAGUGACCUGAGUGUGGCCUGGCUGGAGAGGAUAUGAUACAUUGGUGAUGGUUAACUUCAUUGAAGAGCAUAGGUACUGAAUAUUGGGACAAGAUUGCAACUGAACUAGACAGGAGCGAGUGCUUGGAGUUGGAUGCAGCAAAGUUGGAAACUGCUUUCUUUGGGCCUCUGCUUUUGGGGAGGUGAGUGUAUUUUCUUUUUUUUUUUUUUUUUUAAGAUGGGUUUCACCAUGAUGGCCAGGCUGGUCUUGAACUCCUGACCUCAGGUGAUCCACCCACCUCGGCCUCCCAAAGUGCUAGGAUUACAGGCGUGAGCCACCGCGCCCAGCCAUGUAUUUUCAUUUGUACGAAAAUUGUUGCAGUUUCUUACACUGUAGCAAUGGUUCUCCAACUUUGCUGCAUGUUGGAAUUACCUGAAGUAGUUUGUUAAAAAUGCAGAUUCUGUUUCAGUAAAUCUGGGGUGGAGGCUGAGAUGUAGCACUUAUCAUUUCCUAGGUGAUGCUGAUGCUGCUGGCCCAGGAGCCACGUGUCAAAUAGAAAAGCAUGUUAUUGUUGCUGCUGUUGUUUAGAGUGACAGUCCAAUGGCACUCAUGACUACCAUCUUUACAAUACGCUCUCUACAUUUUGCUAGUUUUCCACAUUUGGAACACCCCAUUUCCCAGCCUUCUUAGCAGCCAGGGUGCAAAUGUGUCCUAAGUUCUGCCAAGCAUCCACUUCUGCACUAGACUUUGAUUUGACUGUGAGGAGCCUGAGAACACCAGCUUCAUGAGGGGCAUUUAGACUGCCAGUAACGUGGCAGUAGAGGUAUCCAGUUAAGAGGCACUUCCUCCCUGAUAAGGCCAGUCCCGGGAGUGAGUCUGGCCACUAUUCCUGGAUGCCAAGCAAUGAGCCUGUUUCUCUAGGCACCCCGCAGUUCUGUGAGCUAAUCUGAUAUCCUCUCAUAAUCCUGUUCUUAAACUAGCCAGGGGGAAUUCUGUUUGAAACACAAAAAUCUUAACACAUACAAAUAACUGUGUACUUAAGUUUAAAAAGAACAAAAGUAGUUUUAUGGAACAAAUGAACUUUAAAAAAAGCAAAUCAUUUAAUUUAAAUGAGAUUUUCAUAAAGCACUUAGCACAAUGUGUGGCAUAUGGUGGUACUUGAUAAAUGCUGUUGUUUUAAAAGGAGAUUGUUUUAUUAUUUUUAUGGAAAUGACACACCCUCACGAAAAUUUGAGUAAUUAUAGAAAAAUAUACCCAAAUACCACCUUGUAGAACAUGAUUCUAGAUAUCUUUGCCUAAAAAUAGACGUAAGAAAGUAAUAAUAAAGAGAUGGAUGGCUGUAAUCAGAACUAAAAU